CCGCGGUAAAACGUAGGAGGCGCGCGUUAUCCGGAUUUACUGGGCGUAAAGCGUACGCAGGUGGCUUCGUGAGUCGGACAUGAAAGCUCCUGGCUUAACUGGGAGAGGUUGUUCGAUACUGCGGGGCUUGAGGUUGGGAGAGGGACGUGGAAUUCCCGGUGUAGUGGUGGAAUGCGUAGAUAUCGGGAGGAACACCAGUGGCGCAAGCGGCGUCCUGGCCCACACCUGACGCUGAGGUACGAAAGCGUGGGUAGCAAACAG
rnacentral:rRNA from 1 species